rnacentral:rRNA from 1 species
GAUGAACGCUAGCGGCAGGCUUAACACAUGCAAGUCGAGGGGCAGCAUGACGAAACCUUCGGGUUUGUUGAUGGCGACCGGCGCAAGGGUGCGUAACGCGUGAGCAACUUGCCCUUAUCAGGGGGAUAACCGGUGGAAACGCCGACUAAUACCCCAUAGUAUUGGCUUUAGGCAUCUUUAGUCAAUUAAAGAAUUUCGGAUAAGGNUAGGCUCGCGUGACAUUAGCUAGAUGGCGGGGUAACGGCCCACCAUGGCGACGAUGUCUAGGGGUUCUGGAGAGGAAGGUCCCCCCACACUGGAACUGAGACACGGUCCAGACUCCUACGGGAGGCAGCAGUGAGGAAUAUUGGUCAAUGGUCAGACGACUGAACCAGCCAUGCCGCGUGAAGGUGACGGCCCUAUGGGUCUUAAACUUCUUUUGCAAGGGAGCAAA